rnacentral:rRNA from 1 species
GACAGAGGGUGCAAACGUUGCUCGGAAUCACUGGGCUUAAAGCGUGUGUAGGCGGGUCGUUAAGUACCUUGUGAAAUCCCACGGCUCACCCGUGGAACUGCUGGGUAUACUGGCGAUCUUGGGCCAACUAGGGGCAACUGGAACAAGCGGUGGAGCGGUGAAAUGCGUAGAUAUCAGGAGGAACACCCGUAGCGAAGGCGGCACUCUGGGCCGAUACUGACACUGAGGAGCGAAAGCGUGGGGAGCGAACAGG